CCAGGAGGCUGGGCAGCCGCGGGUGCGCAAGCACGCGAGGAAAGUCCGGGCUCCACGAAGCAAGGGUGGCGGGUAACGCCCGCCGGGGGCGACCCCAGGGAAAGUGCCACAGAGAGUAUACCGCCGAUGGCCCCUAAAGGGCACAGGCAAGGGUGAAAGGGUGCGGUAAAAGCGCACCGGGGGCCUGGUAACAGGUCCCGUCAUGGCAAACCCCACCCGGAGCAAGGCCGAAUAGGGAUCCCGCGCCAGAAAUGGCAGGAACGCUUCGUUCCGAGGAGGUCCGGGUUGGCUGCUCGAGCGUGCUGGCAACAGCACGCCUAGAUGAAUGGCUGCCGCCUCUCGCAAGGGAGGAACAGAACCCGGCUUACAGGCCUCCUGGCACU
rnacentral:RNase_P_RNA from 1 species